rnacentral:rRNA from 1 species
CAGGGUUUGAUCCUGGCUCAGAUUGAACGCUGGCGGCAGGCCUAACACAUGCAAGUCGAGCGGAUGAAGGGAGCUUGCUCCUGGAUUCAGCGGCGGACGGGUGAGUAAUGCCUAGGAAUCUGCCUGGUAGUGGGGGAUAACGUCCGGAAACGGGCGCUAAUACCGCAUACGUCCUGAGGGAGAAAGUGGGGGAUCUUCGGACCUCACGCUAUCAGAUGAGCCUAGGUCGGAUUAGCUAGUUGGUGGGGUAAAGGCCUACCAAGGCGACGAUCCGUAACUGGUCUGAGAGGAUGAUCAGUCACACUGGAACUGAGACACGGUCCAGACUCCUACGGGAGGCAGCAGUGGGGAAUAUUGGACAAUGGGCGAAAGCCUGAUCCAGCCAUGCCGCGUGUGUGAAGAAGGUCUUCGGAUUGUAAAGCACUUUAAGUUGGGAGGAAGGGCGGUAAGUUAAUACCUUGCUGUUUUGACGUUACCAACAGAAUAAGCACCGGCUAACUUCGUGCCAGCAGCCGCGGUAAUACGAAGGGUGCAAGCGUUAAUCGGAAUUACUGGGCGUAAAGCGCGCGUAGGUGGUUCAGCAAGUUGGAUGUGAAAUCCCCGGGCUCAACCUGGGAACUGCAUCCAAAACUACUGAGCUAGAGUACGGUAGAGGGUGGUGGAAUUUCCUGUGUAGCGGUGAAAUGCGUAGAUAUAGGAAGGAACACCAGUGGCGAAGGCGACCACCUGGACUGAUACUGACACUGAGGUGCGAAAGCGUGGGGGAGCAA